GACGAACGCUGGCGGCGUGCUUAAUACAUGCAAGUCGAGCGAACAGGUCUGGAGCUUGCUCCUCUGACGUUAGAGGCGGAAGUAUCAGUAACACGUGGUUCCCCUAGCUCUAAGAUUGGGCUAACUUCGGGAAACUGGAGCUAAUAACGACUAAUAUAUUGAACCGCAUGGUUCAAUAGUGAUAUCGGGUUUUGCUGUCACUUCUAGAUGGAUCCGCGCCGCAUUAGCUAGUUGGUAAGGUAGCGGCUUAGCAAGGCAACGAUGUGUAGCCGACCUGAGAGGGUGAUCGGUCGCCGGGCAACGGGGACAAGCUGCAGACUCGUAAGGGAGGCAGCAGUAGGGAAUCUUCCGGAAGGAGCAGAAGCCUGAAGUAGCAACGCCGCGUGAGUGAGGAGGGUCGUCGGAGCGUAAGACUCGGUUAUUAGGGAAGUACAAAUGUGUAAGGAACUAUGCGCGUCUGGACGGUAGCUAUACAGAAAGCCACGGCUAACUACGUG
rnacentral:rRNA from 1 species